AGGAAACAACCACAGUGGACGAGGUCAGCUCAGGAGCCCUGGAGUCAGGUCCCGCAGAAGCUCGCGAGCUCUCCGUCUGCAGGGCCUGGAGGCUCCGGGGCGGG
rnacentral:pre_miRNA from 1 species